GCGCAUAACCUUGCGGUCGUGUUUUGGCCGUCGAGGGGUGUUGCGUUUCGGUGGAUCCGUACCGCUCGAAUUGCUGACCGCCUAAGUCAUUGCUUGAAUGCAGCCCCGAGGAGGGUGGUAGGCCCGUGUGGCGGCGCCUGUAAAAAGGUUUGGAAGCAAUUUGGGCGGAGGGAUGUUUACCGUAGAGUCGGGUUGCUUAGUACUGCAGCCCUAAGUAGGUGGUAAACUCCAUCUAAGGCUAAAUACAACCACGAGUCCUAUAUUUGACAAGUACCGUGAGGGAAAGCUGAAAAGGACUCUGAAGAGAGAGUUCAAGAGGACGUGAAACCAUUAGAAGCUGAAACGGGUGGAACCGUGAAGGUGGAAAGAGGGGAUUCAGGCUGUUGACAGGGGCGAUGGGCCGCGGGUAAUGUUUUGAGAUACGGACCCGGCGUACGAGUGAGUUGUCCGGGCACCCGUGGCCUUUUUGUACCUUGUGAGCGGGCUUAGUUCUCCCUCGAGUACGAGACGUGGCGACCCGCUGGUCGGACCCCGAGGNCCCUGAAGGACUGGUAGCCUAGACCUUUGGUUUGGGUGAUGACCUUUUUGGGUACUGAGCGGGUUUGAGCGGCGGUC
rnacentral:rRNA from 1 species